GCAUUGAUCCUCUGUUAGCAUGAAGUGUUCCUCCUUGUCUUCACCAACAUCUGUUAUUUUUUGACUUUUUAACAAAAGCCAUUCUGACUGGUGUGAGAUGGUAUCUUAUUGUGGUUUUGAAUUGCAUUUCUCUGAUGAUCAGUGUAUUGAGCUUUUUUUUUAUAUGCUUGUUGGCCACAUGUGUGUCUUCUUUCUUCUUUAGAAAAGAAGACAUGCAUGCCCACUUUUUCGUGGAGUUCUUUGCUUUUUGCUUGUUGAUUUGUUUAAACUCCUUAUAGAUUCUGGAUAUUAGACCUCUGUUGGAUGCAUGGUUUGCAAAUAUUUUCUCCCAUUCUGCAGGUUGUCUGUUUACUCUCUUGAUAGAUUCUCUUGCUGCGCAGAAGCUCUUUAGUUUGCUUAGGUCCUACUUAUCAAUUUUUGUUUUUGUCACAAUUGCUUUUGGGGACUUAGCCAUAAAUUCUUUGCCAGGGCUGAAAUGGAGAAGGUUAUUUCCUAGGUUUUCUUCUAGAAUUGUUAUAGUUUGAGGUCUUACAUUUAAGUCUUUAAUCCCUCUUGAGUUAAUUUUUGUAUUAAAGGGUCCAGUUUCAUUCUUCAGCAUAUAGAUAGACAGUUAUCCCAGCACAAUUUAAUGGAUACAGAGUCUUUUUCCCCAUUGCUUAUUUUGUCUAGCUUGUUGAAGACCAGAAGGUUGCAGGUGUAUGGCUUUAUUUCUGGCCUUUCUAUUCUGUUCCAUUGGUAUAUGUGUUUAUUUUGUACCAGUACCAUGCUAUUUUGGCUACUGUAGACUUGUAGUGUAGUUUGAAGUGGGUAAUGUGAUGCCUCUGGCUUUGUUCUUUUUGCUUAGGAUUGCUUUGAUUAUUCAGGCUCUUUUUUUUCCUAGUUCUGUGAAAAAGGACAUUGCUGGCUUGAUAGGAAUAGCACUGAAUCUGUAGAUUGCUUUGGGAAGUAUGGUCAUUUUAACAAUUUUGAUGCUACCAAUUCAUGAGCCUGAAAUAUUUUCCCAUUUGUUUGUGUUAUCUCUGAUUUCUUUCAGCAGCAUUUUGUAGUUCGCCUUGUAGAGACCUUUCAGCUAAUUGGUUAGAUAUAUUCCUAGGUAUUUUAUUCUUUUUGUAGCUAUGGUAUAGGGACUGUGUUCUUGAUUUGGAUCUCAGCUUGGAUGUAUUUGUAUAUAGCAAUGCUACUGAUUUUUGGCCAUUGAUUUGGUAUCCCAAAACUUUACUGA
rnacentral:lncRNA from 1 species